UAUUAUCAAACUAAAAGAAAAGUACUAUAAACAAGAAAAUCAAUAUAAUUCAAAACAUAAACAAAGUGUAUUGAUCAUCAACUAUAAUUCCCAGUAUAUUGUUCAACUAUACUAAAAUUAUCAGCUAUAAUCUUCAUCCUCAUCUUCAUCCUCAUCAUCAAUAUAAGCAGGGCUGGACUUGCAAAAUUAACAUUAUAUGACCUACUUAUGUUUGUUUUAU
rnacentral:lncRNA from 1 species